CCCACACCUGAGGAGCCCUGCCCCAAAACUGGGAGAGGAUAGAUUUCUGUUACUUUAAGCCCCAGUUAGUGGUAGUUUGUUACGGCAGCGACAGGAAGUUAAUAUGUUAAGAAAACACCAAAACGUAUCAUCGGAGUCACUUCAG